CUGUUUUUCAGGAGCGAGAAGAGAAAGAGACUCCUCACCUCUGACAGUGAUAUGACUGAGGACUACCCCAAGGAAAAUGACUCAUCAAGCAACAACAAGGCCACUUCAGAUCCAUCCAGGAAGUUUCUACUGAGCUGCAAAGAUAAGCUGAAGCAGGCAGAGGAGAGCAGAAGCUCAGCUCCUCUGGGUUCAACUCCCCUUCAGCCAACAUCAUUCUACGGCAGCCGAUCAGUGACUAAAGACUACAGCCAGAGCCACUCUUUCCUG